GGUUAAGUCCCGUAACGAGCGCAACCCUUGUCCUUAGUUACCAGCACGUUAUGGUGGGCACUCUAAGGAGACUGCCGGUGACAAACCGGAGGAAGGUGGGGAUGACGUCAAGUCAUCAUGGCCCUUACGGCCUGGGCUACACACGUGCUACAAUGGUCGGUACAGAGGGUUGCCAAGCCGCGAGGUGGAGCUAAUCCCACAAAACCGAUCGUAGUCCGGAUCGCAGUCUGCAACUCGACUGCGUGAAGUCGGAAUCGCUAGUAAUCGCGAA
rnacentral:rRNA from 1 species